rnacentral:rRNA from 1 species
UGCGUAGGGUGCGAGCGUUAAUCGGAAUUACUGGGCGUAAAGCGUGCGCAGGCGGUUUUGUAAGCCAGAUGUGAAAUCCCCGGGCUUAACCUGGGAAUGGCAUUUGGGACUGCAAGGCUUGAGUGCGGCAGAGGAGACUGGAAUUCCUGGUGUAGCGGUGAAAUGCGCAGAUAUCAGGAGGAACACCGAUGGCGAAGGCAGGUCUCUGGGCAUUAACUGACGCUGAGGAGCGAAAGCAUGGGGAGCGAACAGG